UGAGGGCUGAAGGUCUUGAGGG
rnacentral:misc_RNA from 1 species